rnacentral:lncRNA from 1 species
CUUCCACGUGCUGUAUGUGUGAUGUGUCAGUGCCUUGUGAAACACAAGGAACAUUUGCUGUCAUCAUGCUGGCUGUCUCCUCUGAUGAAGCUGUGUCACUGCAUGACCAGAUGUUCUGAACGUUUAGGCGGUACCUCAAGCAUCGAUUGAGCGAUGUCCUAGAAGGCCAAGUCCAUCGAAGAACAAAUCGUCGAGCAGCGGGAGGUCCGGCGAGCCAUCCGCGACCCCCAGGACCAGGAGAGCCUGGUGGACGGCCGGGGCCAACGGAGUCCUGGACUUCCGAAGUCCCUUGUACAGAGCGAAGACGUCGCCUGCUCUCUUGAUCAAUAAAAUGUACUACUACUACUACUACUACUACUACUACUACUACUACUACUACUACUACUACUACUACUACUGCUGCUGCUGCUGCUGCUGCUGCUGCUGCUGCUGCUGCUGCUGCUACUACUACUACUACUACUACUACUACUACAGCUGCUGCUUCCCAUUCCUCCGGAAAAUUUCGGCCGGUCCCCCCAGAAUGGGUCGCGCCAUCACACCGAGAAACAACAAGCAAACCAAACCCUACUCUUACAAAAGUAACCUUCAUGGAGUAGCUUUUUUUUUUAACUGGGCGCUUUGCAAGAUUUUCUGAAUACAAGUUACAGAGCUGCGGCUCUCAUGUUCCUUUUUCUUCUUCUUUGUUUUUCUUAGUUAAUCCAUAUGUCACGCCGUCAGCACUAUGCGUCAAGUACAACUCUAUUAUUUUACUGUUCCAUAGUAACGCGACAACGUGCACCUAGCUUAGGCUUACCACGACAACUGUGUAACGCGGUUCUCUUGUCUUCACGGAGAGUCGAGCGGCGGCGACUCGAAUCGGUCACAGCCGUCCGGUGAUUUUCGUGCGCUCAUCAAGCGGCGGAAGGACAGUGCAGCGGUGUCCGGUCUUUGUUGCGGCCA